rnacentral:pre_miRNA from 1 species
AGAGGAAUAGCUGGGUCAAAUGGUGGUUCCAUUCCCAGAUUUCCAAGGAAUCCCAUUCUGCUUUCCAUAUUGGCUGCACCAAUUUGCAGUCCCACCAGCAAU